AUUGAACGCUGGCGGCAGGCUUAACACAUGCAAGUCGAGCGGGGGAAGGUAGCUUGCUACCGGACCUAGCGGCGGACGGGUGAGUAAUGCUUAGGAAUCUGCCUAUUAGUGGGGGACAACAUCUCGAAAGGGAUGCUAAUACCGCAUACGUCCUACGGGAGAAAGCAGGGGAUCUUCGGACCUUGCGCUAAUAGAUGAGCCUAAGUCGGAUUAGCUAGUUGGUGGGGUAAAGGCCUACCAAGGCGACGAUCUGUAGCGGGUCUGAGAGGAUGAUCCGCCACACUGGGACUGAGACACGGCCCAGACUCCUACGGGAGGCAGCAGUGGGGAAUAUUGGACAAUGGGGGGAACCCUGAUCCAGCCAUGCCGCGUGUGAAGAAGGCCUUAUGGUUGUAAAGCACUUUAAGCGAGGAGGAGGCUACUCUAGUUAAUACCUAGGGAUAGUGGACGUUACUCGCAGAAUAAGCACCGGCUAACUCUGUGCCAGCCGCCGCCGUAA
rnacentral:rRNA from 1 species